GAGUUUAGGACACAUGCGUAUUCGAUAACUCUUUUAUUUCCUCUUUGGGUGUAUGUGGGCUGUAUGCUUGAUUUUUUAAGAUGAGGAUGUUUUUCAUGGCAUUGUUAGAUCCCAGUGUCUACUGUCACAGCUGCAAACAUCUGAUUUACAUCUUUGAAUAUGAUAAACAGUAGAAAACAUUAGAAAUUUAGACAGGUUAUCAGCUACAUGACUUUAAUGAAGGAACUGAAGUAGUGUAACGUGUAAUCUGUAACCUGUUACCUGUUAGUUACAUUUCCUCCCCAACACUGUAAAUAAGAGCGAGUGCCCCAGCGACGGAAGGCUUUAUGAUCAUCUGCUCUGUCUCUCAGUCUCUGGCAGAAUUUGAUCUGCGCUCCGUCAAGUACCAGAUCAAAUCAGCUCGGAGUCACGAAAUGCGUCUGAUCAAGCCUCCUCACGACUGCCUCACGUUCACCUUCCGCAGCGAGCAGGAGGCGCAGGAGGGGGCCACCGUCAUGAUGUCAUCGCUCAGAGAGUCUCACAGAGGCAGCAGUGGGUGUGGCUCAGAGAAGCCUAGUGUCAGUGACAUCAUUAACUUUGAGAUGUUGCAACUUGGAGGAUCCAAACUGAAAUCAAGUAACACACAGUCAGGCUGGUCCUGUCCUUCCUGUACAUUCAUAAAUAAGUCUACGAGACCCGGCUGUGAAAUCUGCAGCACAGAUCGACCCAAUCCUCUCAAUCACAGCAGCGUUCAGCAGGAACAAGCAAGAAGAUCGAACCUGUGAAACUGUGCUGUAAAUACACACAAACCCUAAGAUUAUCUCACAUUCAAACGACAUGCAAGGAACUAAACUACUAUUAGCUGCUAGUAGUUUUAAUAAGAGUUGACUUGCACACAAAGCUUCAAUCUCUCACAGUGACUGUGUGGUAUAUUUCACCGGUGGCUUCAUCUCUGGUGCUUUACAGUGCAGUUAAUAGUAACUGAUCUGAUGCUUGGUUCCUCUUAAAGGAGUUGUGACAUGGAUUUGCUUUUGAGCUUAAUUAAUACAUUCUUUGUUUAUAAUGAAGAAGAUGUUUUGAGUUAUGAAACUUACAGGCUCGAGGAAAAAUGAGAUUUCUCAUGUCACGAGUCGUUAAAUGGAGUGAUGUAACUGUUGAGCAGUAUUAGGCUUCAGAAGUGAUCCUGGUUCAUUUUAUGAGCGAACAAAAACAAAGCAGAAACCCAAUCAUCUGUGGCUCUAGAUGGUGCAAACUAUUUAGGAACUUUACUUUGCAAGUUGCACAUGAGUUUUUGUUUCAAAUAGGACAUUAUAAGUAUCUUUUAGCUUUAGUUGUU
ensembl:lncRNA